AUUGAACGCUAGCGGGAUGCUUUACACAUGCAAGUCGAACGGCAGCGCGGACUUCAGUCUGGCGGCGAGUGGCGAACGGGUGAGUAAUGUAUCGGAACGUGCCCAGUAGCGGGGGAUAACUACGCGAAAGCGUAGCUAAUACCGCAUACGCCCUACGGGGGAAAGCAGGGGAUCGUAAGACCUUGCACUAUUGGAGCGGCCGAUAUCGGAUUAGCUAGUUGGUGAGGUAACGGCUCACCAAGGCGACGAUCCGUAGCUGGUUUGAGAGGACGACCAGCCACACUGGGACUGAGACACGGCCCAGACUCCUACGGGAGGCAGCAGUGGGGAAUUUUGGACAAUGGGGGCAACCCUGAUCCAGCCAUCCCGCGUGUGCGAUGAAGGCCUUCGGGUUGUAAAGCACUUUUGGCAGGAAAGAAACGUCGCGGGCUAAUACCCCGUGGAACUGACGGUACCUGCAGAAUAAGCACCGGCUAACUACGUG
rnacentral:rRNA from 1 species